rnacentral:rRNA from 1 species
AGCUAAUACAUGCCAAAACCGCAAGGUUGUAUUUAUUAGAUAUUCCAAGUAGGUGAAUCAUAAUAACUUCGCAAAUCGCAAUUAUGUUGCGAUAAAUCAUUCAAGUUUCUGCCCUAUCAUGCUUUCGAUGGUAGUGUAUUGGACUACCAUGGCUCUCACGGGUAACGGGGAAUUAGGGUUCGAUUCCGGAGAAGGAGCCUGAGAAACGGCUACUACAUCUAAGGAAGGCAGCAGGCGCGUAAAUUACCCAAUCCUGACUCAGGGAGGUAGUGACAAGAUAUAACAACGCGACUAAUAUCGCGAUUGUAGUGAGGGUUUUCUAAACCGAACUUCUAGUACGAUUGGAGGGCAAGUCUGGUGCCAGCAGCCGCGGUAAUUCCAGCU